UGUGUUAACAGAGAAAUCAGAGAAAUUGACAAAAAAAAAAAACAAACAAAUGAGGGUCGAACGAUGGAAAGAAUCAAAACUUUGCCCACUGACAAACCUCUCAACUCAUUGACAUUGGAAGCAACAACGGUCAAACAAAACCAGUUCACACAGAAAUUAGAUUAAUUUGGCGUCCUCGACUUCGUUAACAAUUUCCCUGUCCCCCGCCCAGUGAAAAUACAUCAGUAGAGCAGGCUCUACCCAAAGUUUUAUUCAUCUAAAUAUGUUUGUCAUAGCGUCGCCUUAGAUGCUGCUGCUUUAUAUUUAUUUGUCUGCCUGAAAUGUUGGAGUUCCCCAUUUUUUGAGUGCUCGAGCGACAUUAGUUCCGCAUUCAGGGACUCGAUUCUCGACUGCAGUUGCAUCUCCUUCUCCGGGACAUCUGGGGAGUCGCGGGGAGUCACCGUAUUUUCGGCGGGGAGGAGCGAACGUGUUUCUUAUUAUUUUUCGCUGAUUAAUCGAUUGUCGGCUGCGUGUCGCUGGGUCUCCCUGCCUCCAUAUGUCAUCCCGACUGCAGCGCCCAGUGAUUCAGACACUUGUCACUGGAAAAAUGUAAACAUGAAAUGCAUUUAUGUAGAAAUGUAAAAAAUAUCUGCGCGAAAUACAAACAUCCCCCGUCAUCUGGGGGAGGAUGCAAAGUUGCUGUUGGUAAAAAAUGGGUUGACAUGGCGCGUCUCAGUUGAGAGACCCGCUCGGACUGGAUUGGAGUAAGAAAAAUUAAAAUCUUUAAUAUUACCGAAUAUUUUCGGAGAAAAAAUUUGAAUCGUGGUAAGCAGCCACCAAAGAAUUUACUAGUUUGUAACAGUAUAUAGCUUACAAAAUAAAUAUAAAUACUAUUAUUUGUGUUUUACAAGUAAUAUUCCUUAGCAUUUUAGUUCUGUUUUUGUUCUCAAGACUCAAAAGUUUUGUUGUGAAAUAAAUAAAUUUCGCCGUUUUAAACACAAGAUAUUUCACAUCUAAUAGUGAUCUAAAUUUGUGUUAGUCGUAUUCCCAGUUCCUUUGCCAGGAGCAGGCCGCAAUUUGAGCCGCAUGGAUUGGAUUUCUUUAAGCCCUUGGCAUGGGCCUUCUCAUUGUUUUCCGAGUGGCGUGGCUCCGGUUCCCAGUUCCCAAUUCCUGGUUCCCAGCCCCUUCUCCGUACUCUGCCCUCCCUGUUGGCUCUACGGAGCAUAUACAUACCAACUCCCUUGGCUUCAGAUCCCGGCUGUCGGCCCGGUCUUCUGGGCUGCUUUUGAUGAUGAUGGCAUUUCCUUUGGUAGUUGCGUACGUCAUAGAUUAAUGGCAGCAAUCCAUCAAAAUCACUCGAUGGACACGACGAACAGCCGAAAAUUCGGAAGAAGCAGCAAGUCCGUGCAGCAGCUCUACAGGAGCAAGUGAGAUGGGCAAUAGGGGUGAAAGGGAGGGGGAUGGUUUGCCAGCUUGCCAGUCAAAAAAAGGCACACAAUUUGGGUUUUUGUUUACGGCGUUCUUGUGCUUUUAUUCUCCCCAACUCCUGGACUGUACUGUGCAUUUUUUAUUAGGCUUUCCGACCACCAAAGCUUGUAUUGGCUUUAAAGAUAAAUAGGCAUAAGUAGCAUGUUUUUAGAAAUAUUGAACACUAAACUACAUAGGUUUUAAAUAUAUGGGCAAGGAUUCAUAAGUUACUAUA